GCUGAGGGGCCGUGGCGGUUUGAAAGCGGUACCAUCCGCAUACCACGGAGUCUGUCCUGCCACAUCGAAUCGACACAAUCAGAGAGUCCGUGUCUCAUGUUUUGUCAGACGGAGAAAAACUGUUGCUUGGAUGAUUACAAAACGCCCCAUCCUAUGAAAGCUUGAAGAGGACGCGAUUAUUUAAGUGCACAUCUAUGGAAUAAAUUUAAACCAGGUCUACUAAACAUCAUGUCAGGGAAAUCAGAUGGGAAAAAGAAGUGGGCAGCAGUUAGGGGUCGCCUGGGCUCCUCGCAGGACUCUGACACCCAGCAGGAAGCUAACCUGGAGAGUGCUGAUCCAGAGCUGUGCAUCAGGCUGCUGCAAGUUCCCACUGUAGUCAACUACUCUGGGCUGAAGCGCCGCCUGGAAGGCAGCGACCAGACAUGGAUGGUCCAGUUCCUGGAAUUAAGUGGGCUGGAUCUCCUCCUGGAGGCUCUAGACCGACUCUCGGGACGGGGAUGCUCACGCAUCGCAGAUGCCCUUCUGCAGCUCACAUGUGUCAGCUGCGUACGUGCAGUCAUGAACUCAUCAGCAGGGAUCCACUUCAUCAUUGAGAAUGAGGGAUACAUCCGGAAGCUCUCACAAGCCCUGGACACCUCUAACAUCAUGGUUAAGAAGCAGGUGUUUGAGCUCCUUGCAGCCCUCAGCGUGUUCUCUGGAGAUGGUCACCGCCUGGCACUGGACGCUCUUGAUCACUACAAGGGGGUGAAGACACAGCAAUAUCGUUUCAGCAUGAUCAUGAACGAGCUGCAAGCCACAGAUAAUGUCCCAUACAUGGUCACUCUCCUCAGCGUCAUCAAUGCUCUCAUCUUUGGCUCAGAUGACCUCAGACAGAGAGACAAGAUGAGAAAGGAGUUUGUCGGCCUUCAGUUACUUGAUAUUCUGCCAAACUUAAGAGAGCAGGAGGAUGAAGAUUUGAUCAUUCAGUGUGAAGCUUUCGAGGAGGCGAUGGCUGAGGAUGAGGAGGAGCUGCUGCGAGUGUAUGGGGGAAUUGAUAUGAGCAAUCACCUUGAGGUUUUCACUGCACUUUUCAACAAGGUGAGCAGCUCUCCAGCUUCUCUCCAGCUGCUCUCCAUCCUACAGACAAUGUUGGAGCUGGGACCAGGUCGCCCAGAUAUCUGGCUUGCUCUGGAGGCCAUCAGUAACAGAGCCAUACUGCUGGCUCAGGAUUCUCAGAUGGAGUCCUGUGAGAAGAUCAUGCAGCGGCUGAUGCUUUUCAAAGGGAGACGCAGUGAAAGUCGCCACGAAGUGGAUGGACAGGUAGUGAAGGUGGACAAGGCUGUUCAGACUGAUCUGGAUCACCAGGGUGAAGACAAGCCAGAUAAAAGCACAACAUCCACUCAAAAGCUGCCGUGUGCCUCUCCUCCUCCUCCUCCUCCGCCGCCUCCUCCCCCACCUCCUCCUCUACUACCUGGAGGGUUUGGCAUUCCCCCACCACCACCACCACCACCUCCUCCUCCCUUGCCUGGAAUGCCUCCACCCCCACCAUUGCCUUCCGACCCAGGCAUGCCUCCCCCGCCUCCUCCACCACCACUACCAGGGAUGGGAGGUGGACCACCGCCACCUCCUCCCUUACCUGGGAUGCCUCCUCCACCGCCACCUCCUCCUGGCAUGAUAGUGGCUCAGAGCAGUCAGACCCUAGGGUACAGUGCACCAACAAAGGCAUACCGAUGCCCCACUCUGAAGAUGAAAAAGCUUAACUGGCAGAAACUUCGUUCUGUGACUGAUGGUCCCUCCAUGUGGGCCUCAGUACAAAAAGAUCCGCCCCCUCGUGAGCCGGACUACAACAGUAUCGAGCAGCUGUUCUGUCUCCCGGUGACCAAGCCCAAAGACAAGGAGGCAGCUGCACCUGUCAAGAAGGAGCCUAAAGAGAUAACAUUCAUUGAUCCAAAGAAAAACUUGAAUUUGAACAUAUUUUUAAAGCAGUUCAAAUGCACAAAUGAGGACUUUGUCGCCAUGAUCCAGAACGGAGACCGGACUAAGUUUGAUGUAGAGGUGCUAAAACAGCUUCUUAAGCUCCUACCAGAGAAGCAUGAGAUUGAGAAUCUCAAGUCUUUUCAAGGAGGAAAAGACAAGUUGGCAAAUGUUGAUCGCUUCUACACCUCCCUCCUCUCUGUGUCAUGUUAUCAGCUGAGAAUUGAGUGCAUGCUGUUGUGUGAGGAGACUGCGUCGACAUUAGAGAUACUCAAACCUAAAGUUAAGCUGGUGGAGGAGGCCUGUCAUUCUCUCCAAACGAGCACGCACUUGCCCAGUUUCUGCAGGCUCAUCCUUGACGUGGGAAAUUUCCUCAACUAUGGAAGUCACACAGGGAAUGCUGAGGGCUUCAAGAUCAGCUCUCUGCUGAAGCUCACAGAGACAAAAGCCAACAAGAGCCGCAUCACACUGCUUCAUCACAUCCUGGAGGAAGCAGAGGCGAACCACCCGGAGCUGCUAGCGCUGCCGGAUGAUAUAGAAAUAUGUCAAAAAGCAGCAGGAGUCAGUCUGGACUCUGUUCAGUCAGAAGCUGGUUCUUUACUAAAGCAGCUGAAUGAGGCGACCAAGAAAGUCUCCAACUCUGAGGAUGAGGUGAAAGAGCAGUAUGCAAAAGUUCUUGAGGAAAAUCUGGAGGCAUGUCGAACUUUAAGUGAGAAAUUUGCUGAGAUUGAGAAGAAGAGGCUCGACCUGGCUGUCUAUUUAUGUGAAGAUGUUAAUAAGCUGUCGCUAGAGGAACUCUUCGGAACCAUUAGGACUUUCCGAGAACUUUUCAUCAAGGCACUAAAGGAAAACAAAAUGAGGAAAGAGCAAGCAGCCAAAGCUGAGAAGAGAAAGAAGCAGCUGGCUGAGGAAGAGUCCAAGAGGCGAAAAGGAGAGAAUGGAAAAAUAAUCAAGAAAGGCUUUGUACCGCAGGACGAUGGCUGCAUCAUCGAUCACCUCCUGGCAGAUAUCAGGAGAGGUUUCAGCCUAAGAAAGACCCGGCCAAGGUGCGAAUCGGGAAGCCUCCUUUCUAAUGAAAUGCGUAGAGAUACCUGCCCACCUGGAUCAAGUGUGAAGUCUGCAGACGAAAAGGCCGUCGAAGUAGCCACCAUCUCCGCUCCAUCCACACCUCAGACAGUGGAUCUCCAGGGCCUCGCAGGCGAAGUGAACGGCUUUAUCAGCCCAUUGCAAGAAACUGUUCCAGGACUUCAGCUAAAUGCAGCUCAAGGCGGGCCAGCUGCUCCUCUCAGCACACCCCCAGCAGAGCCAGUCUCAAUGGAGGAGAUGCUGCUACCGGAUGGUCAACACCCAGAGAAACCCUCAACAUCAGUGAUGGAUGGGACACCACCUCUGCCUCAGAUUGAAGGAAAACUUCAAACAUGUCUGCCUACAAAUGGCUUUUCGUUAGGUUCAACAGAAACUAGCAUCCUCAGUCCAUCUUCCCUCUCAGACAUAGAUCUGCUGGAGACCAUGUUAGAUGGCACAUCCAGCCUGACAUCUGAAAAAGUGGCACCUGAGGAGCUGGACAUUAACUUAAAUGUUCACAUCAAGGAAGGUUCUUCAUCUAGUACUUGCCUUAAUAUGAAACAGAGCAGUGAAAGCAGUAUAAUGGAAGAUGAGAACGAUGAAAAUAGCCAUAAAAUAAACCAUUUAACACAGGCAGCGGGACAAGAGACGGGUCAAGAAAACAAGGAAUGCGGCCAAGAUGAAAUUAUGAGUAACAAACAUUUAGACCCCAAAAUUGAUGUGGUUGUGCUCAGUGAAGGCUUCAGUGGGUGUGAUGUUCCAGAUGGACUGGAGCCGGAAGAUUUGCCAUCGGUCUCUGAAGUGGAUCCUCUCUCCCUUAAACAUGAUACAAAGAAACAACUGAAGUUGUUUAGGCGAAACAAAAAGAAGAGUAAUCAAGGUAAUCUAUCCAUUCACUUAAAUAAAGAUCAUGUUUGUAAUGCUAGUCUCUUGACGUCUUACAGGGAACUCCUUAUUUAUUUUGCUUUUAUUGCAUGUAACAUGCUAUUUAUAUAUGGGUUAUUUUAGAGUAUUUUGCAUAAAUGUAUUUUUUUAUUAAAUGUGCAACACUUGCAGACUUAAUACUGAAUGGAUUUAAAUUUCUGUUCAGUCUGUUUUGAAUGCUCUGUUUUCCGUUCUGACUCUCUGAAACACAAGGUAACAGUGGGAAAGGACACACUAAACAUAAAACAGGCUGUGUGUUGCAGUGAGGUGACUCCAGAAAAAAGAAAUCAAGAGGGAAGAGAAAAUGUUAAUGUCACACUGGAGUGAACUGGAUGGACAGUAUAUUUUAUUUUGCAAGAAUACAGGAAUAAUGACUCAUUUCAAGAGGAUGUAGAAGUCUCCCUUCUACAAAAUUUCUCCUGACCAAGAAGAGUAAAGACAUCCAAGGCUGGGGUUUUCACAGCAUGGGUGUAGCAUGUCACUUUAAUAAAAUUGUAUUUUUCUGUACAUGAAUGCAGAACUGUUCGAAAAAAGAAAAGAAAAACAUGUGCUUUAAAUGUUUGUAUAAUUGUUGUAAUACUUAGUGAGUGUUUUUGUUAUAAACUCUGUUUACCUGACACCCAUAAUAUGGAAGAUGCAGUGCAAAAUAUUUAAUAUAUCUCAGUUUAAUUUCUUUGUGUUGCAAUUCUCUGCAGAAAACAACCGAUUGUAACUUUUAAUGUUGGAUAUAUUUUAU